AACGAACGCUGGCGGCAUGCCUAACACAUGCAAGUCGAACGAAGGCUUCGGCCUUAGUGGCGCACGGGUGCGUAACGCGUGGGAAUCUGCCCUUUGGUUCGGAACAACAGCUGGAAACGGCUGCUAAUACCGGAUGAUCACGAAAGUCCAAAGAUUUAUCGCCAGAGGAUGAGCCCGCGUUGGAUUAGGUAGUUGGUGGGGUAAAGGCCUACCAACCCGACGAUCCAUAGCUGGUCUGAGAGGAUGAUCAGCCACACUGGGACUGCGACACGGCCCAGACUCGGACGGCGGGCAGCCGUAGGGACUAUUAGACGAGGCGAGCAAGCCUGAGCCAGCAAUGCCGAGUGCGUAAUCACGGCCCUAGGGUUGUAGGCCUCUCUUGCACGGCAAGAUAAUGACUGUACCGGGGGAAUAAGCCCGGGCUAACUCCGUG
rnacentral:rRNA from 1 species